rnacentral:misc_RNA from 1 species
AGAAAAAAAAAAAAAAAAAGAAAAUAGAAUGCAUAAAAUGCAUUCAGCUACCCCUCUUACCGUCAAAUUUCUUCCCUUUCGCUAUUUUUUCUCUACCAACAAUCAUUAGUUAAGUAAUUUUUUUUUGUAAAAUAAUUGAUAGAUCAGCAAGUUAAACUGAAAACUUUUAAAUUUUAGGUUAUAGUGAUUUUUAUGAAAUCAAAUUGAAGUUCAGUGAGUUUUAUAAAAGAAAUUAAAAUUCAAUGACUUUUGUGAGUAAUCAUAUGUGAUAAUUACCCUGAUGUUUUAUCUCCUUGACCCGGUUCAUCACUUUUGAUGGUUCUUUUGAUAUCUGUCGAGUUGGUAAGUACGUAUUAAAAAGGGAAAAUUACUAAAAAAACCUAGUACGUAUUAAACGGGGGAAAUUACUAAAAAAAAAAUCUUGUGGUUUUACUCAUUUUCACUUCAUGGUCUUUGAUUUACUUUGUGACAAAGUAGUAUCCUGAGUUUCGCAUUGUUAGCAAAGAAUGACUUUUCAUCUUCUCUCUGUUAAAAGAUAUUGAUAUGGAACAAAAAUGUGCUGAUGUGAAAGAGAAAUAUUGACGUGAAAUUAAAAAAAAAAAAGUAAAAAUUAGUACUUUGUGAUUCUAUUUAUUUUCACUUUAGGGUCUGUGAUUCAUUUUGUGAUAAAAUAGUACUAUGAGGUUUGCAUCAUUAGCAAACGAAGUGAAUUAUUUAACUUCUAAAAAUAAUCAGAAUUUGAGAACUUUUACUUUUGGAAUACAAUGGAGAAGUUUAUACAUAUUUUCUUUGAAAAGCUCAUUUUUUCAGUUCUAUUAUUUUAUGAUACCUAAGUUUCUAGGCUAGAAGAAUUUGACACGGUGUCUAGAAGUGCUAUAGAGUUCAAGGGGCUACUUGAGUUGCAAACUCUUCAAGGCAGUGUUGAUGGAAGCUGUGUCCAAAGUGAAAAAAGGUAUCGGUCACUUCAUAGAAGGGAGAAACGGGUAGCUAGCCAGUCAAGAGCACUGGUUCAAUCUAGCCGCUCUAACAACAAAACUAUUGCUCCUAUCCAAAUUCUCAGUAAUACUAAUCAAAUGACUCACCCAGGAGUUUAUGCUAUCCUUGAUAGUGAUUCUAAAAAGUGAAUGUGCAAAUUUCAGGUUUAAAAAUAUAUUGACAGUGAUUCUGAAAGUCAAAGUUUU